UACGUAGGUGGCAAGCGUUACUCGGAAUCACUAGGCGUAAAGCGCGGGUAGGCGGUUUGGUAAGUCUGUUGUGAAAGCUCCUGGCUCAACUGGGAGAGGUCAACGGAAACUGCCAGGCUAGAGUGUGGUAGGGGAAGCUAGAAUUCCCGGUGUAGCGGUGAAAUGCGUAGAUAUCGGGAGGAAUACCUAUGGCGAAAGCAGGCUUCUGGGCCACCACUGACGCUAAUCUGCGAAAGCUAGGGGAGCAAACAGG
rnacentral:rRNA from 1 species